rnacentral:misc_RNA from 1 species
GACAUAUUUCCAAAAUUAGAGCUCGAAUUUGGAUUUUGAGCUAAACCCUUUUUCCCCAAAUGAUACUCAACGGUACUGUACGUCGGGAAAAGCUCAGCAGGAAUAUUGUUUUCGUUGAUUCCAAGAUAAGAUUUCGGAAACGGGUUUUUCCGGUAACAAAACGGGCAAACCCAAAUUCUCGAUUGGUAAUCAACACGAGCAUAUGGGUUUAAAACGGCGCCACAUUGGGUGCAUAUAAGAGGAUCAUAAGGAAGUACAGGGAGCUCGUUGAAAUGCAUCAACGGAGUACACAUAAUAGAUAGUGGGAUUAUCAGACCUGAAGCUUCGGAUU